rnacentral:rRNA from 1 species
ASAGGAAGUAAAAGUCGUAACAAGGUUUCCGUAGGUGAACCUGCGGAAGGAUCAUUACCGAGAGAGGGGCGUGCGGUCGCCUGCGGCCCGCGGCCCGGGGGGGUCACUUCCCCCCGACUCUUCAACCCUAUGCGUACCAACCUCUGUUGCUUCGGCGAGCGCCGGGGGGCCUCGUGCGCCCCGGCCCCGGCUUCGGUCGGUGAGUUCUCGCCGAAGACCCAAUUUCAAUCCGUUUGCAGCCCCGUCCGAGCGCACCGAUAAAUCCAAUCAAAACUUUCAACAACGGAUCUCUUGGUUCCGGCAUCGAUGAAGAACGCAGCGAAAUGCGAUAAGUAAUGUGAAUUGCAGAAUUCAGUGAAUCAUCGAAUCUUUGAACGCACAUUGCGCCCCCUGGUAUUCCGGGGGGCAUGCCUGUUCGAGCGUCAUUGCAACCUUCAAGCUAUGCUUGGUAUUGGGCGUUCGCUUCCCCCGCUCCGGGGGUGGCGCGCCUGUAAGUUAGUGGCGACCCCGGGGGACCUCAAGCGUAGUAGAACCUUUUCGCUUGGGAGGUACCACCCGGGGCCCGGCCGUCAACCUUUCCAUCCAUCAAUGAUUGACCUCGGAUCAGGCAGGGAUACCCGCUGAACUUAAGCAUAUCAA